ACGCUCGACACCUACGGGAGCCAGCAGUGGGGAAUAUUGCACAAUGGGGGAAACCCUGAUGCAGCGACGCCGCGUGGAGGAAGAAGGUCUUCGGAUUGUAAACUCCUGUUGUUGGGGAAAAAGAGGAUGGUACCCAACAAGGAAGUGACGGCUAACUACGUGCCAGUAGCCGCGGUAAUCUGAGCGGGCUGGCAAGGC
rnacentral:rRNA from 1 species